rnacentral:misc_RNA from 1 species
GAAAUGCGAUAAGUAAUGUGAAUUGCAGAAUUCAGUGAAUCAUCGAAUCUUUGAACGCACCUUGAGCUCCUUGGUAUUCCUUGGAGCAUGCCUGUUUGAGUAUCAUGAAAUCUUCAAAGUAAAUCUUUUGUUAACUCAAUUGGUUUCUACUUUGGUAUUGGAGGUCUUUGCAGCUUCACACCUGCUCCUCUUUGUUCAUUAGCUGGAUCUCAGUGUUAUGCUUGGUUCCACUCGGCGUGAUAAGUUAUCUAUCGCUGAGGACACUGUAAAAGGUGGCCAAGGUAAAUGCAGAUGAACCGCUUCUAAUAGUCCAUUGACUUGGACAAUACUUUUAUGAUCUGAUCUCAAAUCAGGUAGGACUACCCGCUGAACUUAAGC